ACCAGGAGUGGGCUGGUGGUGAACAACCCGUUAGAAUUUGCAAACAGCUGGAAAGGAGACAGCUCUUGCUCAGAUGUGGAAAAAAUAGUUGACGCUUGUGAAGAAGCGCCUCAUCGAGACCACUGGGCAAAAAUUAAAUGCCAGAUCAUAAAGGACAAGUUUCAAGAAUGCCACUCCAAGGUAGAUCCAGAUCCCUUUUAUGAAAACUGUUUGAAAGACACCUGUGCCUGUGACACUGGAGGGGACUGUGAGUGUUUCUGUUCAGCUGUUGCAGCUUAUGCCCAAGCUUGUAAUGAUGCUGGUGUUUGCAUUUCAUGGAGGACUCCAGAAAUCUGUCCCGUCUUUUGUGAUUACUACAAUUAUAAAGAAGAUGAGUGCACAUGGCACUACGAAUCUUGCAUCCCACCAUACCAGACUUGUUCAAACAAUUCAAUAUAUUCACAGUUUCCAAAACUU